CCCGGGCUUGUCCUCCCUGCGAGCGGCUCCUCCAAGGAGGUCUGUCGGCGUGUGCAAGCGCCCCGUGUUGGGACGGCCGCUCCUGGACCCUAGGACUCUGUGUGUCGGGUGUCGGAUUGGGUGGCAUGGGGGAGUACUUGCUGCAUUUGAUCCUCUACAACUGGUGUUGCUCCCGUUAUGCGGACAGAAGACAGCCCCAGGGAACAAAUGCUAGGAAAUGGCAGGGUGAGAAAACUGAGGCAUGGAGAGGUUACAAUAUAACUUAGAUCUCCCAGCUGGCAAGUAAUGGUUUAAGCCAGGAGCCUACACACUUCCUCCUACUUCCUCUAUGGGUGCUGGUGAUCUGCCGACUCCUAGACAUCCAGCUUUAAGGUCCUCAGUGAAGCUUCUCUGCCCCCAGGCCUGUCCAUGUCAGAGCACCAUGGGUGUCCCUUUGAAAGUAUCUCCUACAGGAUAAUCCCUCUCCUGCACCCCAGGGAUUGAACUUACUGCAAGAUUCCCCUGCCACUCCCUACCCAGAACAAUCACAAGAUGAAUCACAAGAAUACACAGCAGUGCCUUCCCAAAAGUCUCGCUCAUUUGGCCUCCAUCCUCUCACCAUGUACAGCCUCCCCUCUCCAGUAAGGACAGAGUGUGUGUGUGUGUGUGUGUGUG
rnacentral:lncRNA from 1 species